rnacentral:lncRNA from 1 species
UUUUGUCAACCAAACCCUCCUCGAGAGUGCUCUGUAGCUGAAUGCCUUGUUGCCUUCCUCGCCAGCCCAAGGACAUUACAAGUUCUCCCCCAACUUGUACAAUAUGAGUAUAGCCGAGCGUCUCGCCUCCCACGCGUCUCGCUCCCGCGACUCAACCCGCACGCCUCUAGCGUCGAGGUCCGGGCUUCGCGACAUCGCAUGCCACGAAGGGCACUCAUAACCAUAAGUUCCACCAUCGUGUCUCCCGCGCCUGACAACACCCAUGGCCAUACCGCCUACGCGGCCUGCUCGCUCGGUCCAACGGCUUACCUCCGAAAAGCCACCCAAGUGUGCGCCACAAGCUUGCUUGCCCCAACAUCAGCACCUCAGCGUGACACCACGCACGUCCGUGCUUCGCACCUCCGUGCUUCGCAUUCGACCCGUGCGGCCCUCGUGUCCCAUCGCUCCUGAAUAGGGAACCAACAAGUCCACACCGUGCUUCUCGACCGUCUCAUCGACCCUCGCUUUGCCACGGCGCUCCGCGCCCUUGACUCCCAUAGGUUCGCCUCAUAAGGCCCCAUACAAACGAACCGGCCUCGCUCCGCAUCGCUAGCCACUGGCCCCUCCUUGGCUCGACCACGCCUGGCCGCUUACCCCAUUGGUCCAGUCUCUCAAGGUUCACUAUACGGAUACCGAUACCGCUUGCCUCCUUGGGUUCCGCCCCUCGAGUCUCGUAGGCCACCCGCCUUACGAAUUCUCCCUCGGCAUGCCUCCCUUUAGCGUCCCUAUCGAGUCUCGCCUCCUUGGCCUUCGUGGGCGCCGCGCCCCACGAAUCCCCGCUCGGCACCCUUGCCUUCGCGAGCCUUGUCCUUUACGGAGGACCAUCCGUCGCUAGACUAUCCCUCAUCCGCUCGUACGCUCCACUACAGAGAUCCAAGCCGGCAUAAGGUAGCGCAAGCGAUCCUAGGGAGGAAGCCUCCCGGUAUUCCCCGCUUCCGUAAUGUCGUCGACCUCUCGCGUCUCCGACAUUACCCUAGGCCCGUGUCCCUUCAACCGUCCAUUAACCGGCUACACGGAACGCUAGGCUUGGCUACUCCGCUAGCCAAGGGACGACCCAUAUCCUAUGGGUCGACGGGGGAGUCGGGGCCACUUACGAAGUGUCCACCCCUCCUCUAAUACCCUUACGAGGCAUCCACUCCUUUGGCACCCCGGGGGUACAAAGGUGCUCACCGAGGGGUACGUUUUCAAGCCCCGCAUGCGGCACCUAUUUCCAAGUCAUGGCAUGGGCCAUUGCUAGGGAAUUGCCUCCGUUGACUUGACAGCGACUCCUACCUGACGGAACGCCUCAACUCCGCAACUCCAUAACUUCGUCAACCCAAAUGCCUACCAAGUAUGGCCCACAAAGGUGUCACGGUCGAGACCCAACGAUCGACCCGUGACAGUACGGCACGAGCGGCAUUUUGAACCUUGAUAAUAAUAUUAUAAUACUAAUCCAAGUGUCGAAACGCAAAAAAUCGCGCCUGCGGUGUUUCGAUCGGCUCGUCAAAUGGCACCAAAUCCCUUUCCUCUUCUUCUUCUUCUCUUUUUCCCCUUUCUCUUCUUUCCUUUUCUCUCUAUACGUACAGGUUGAAGGUGGAGGGAAGCUUCAAGAGGCUUCCCUGGCAACUUAGUGGAAUUCCACUACGGUAACAAUAUGCCAAUAAGUCCAUAAGCCAUCAAUAUUCUCAAUUUGCUCUAAUUUCAAUUUGAUACUUUUAAUUGCAGCCCUUCUGAAUGUCCGUUUGCGGUACAACUCUUGUGGGUACUCAUGCCAUACUCGUGCCCUCUCCGCAAACAACUUUUGUCACCCCAAUGCCUCCACAAUCGCACAACGUCGAGCUCUCCCCAUGGUCUCCCCAAGCUUUCAAGCCUUUCGUCGGGACUAGCCGGCCUCGACUACUUCCUGCUCUACUGACUUCCCCACGGACUCUUGUCAUGCCUCCUGACUGCUUUGCAUUUCGACUACUUGUUGAUGCACGGCACCUUUAGCCUUUAUCCCACAAGCCUGCUCAAGCCCUACUUCGUUAGGCUCUCGCAGAACUCCACUUCGAUUCGCAAUCAAAGUGUUCGGCCAAGUUCGAGCCAAUCGGACACCUUGUCUCUUUUCGCUCGCAACUUGCCAUAUCCCAACUCUAGGGACACCACCCUCAUGAUUGAACGCUGAACGGAACUCAGUUCACUCUCUGCUUAGUCUGAACCGCAAGUCUGGUUGCCACGGCAAUGCCGCUACCCUGCGCGCACCGCCCUUACAGAACUUCGAUACCUCGACCCUUCCCGCAGCUGCGAACUGUCCAAACUCCAGCCAGCACCAUGAUCCUGGGUGAAUCCACACACCACUCAACCCGACUAAGGAUGUCUCAUCCGUCCAACUCGUGGGCACAUUGUAAAGAGCAACCGAUCUCCACACCGGCCUUCUCGCACCAAGAGAAGUACUAAGCUCUCUCGCAAUCCUAGGUCCCCUUCACAACCUAGUCCAACGCCUAGCUGUUACUACCAUGGAUUCGUCGGCCUAGACUUCCAACUUGAGCUCCACGAAGCAAACUCUUUUACCACAUGUGUUGUAUCCCACUUCCUGUCAUAGACGAGCUCCUUCACCGAGUCUUUGCGCAUGGGAGCACUUAAUGAACAAACGUGCUCCCCCACUCUGAGUCGCUCCACCACCAAGCGCACUCAGAUCUCCCCGGCAUUCUCAAUGCCCCACAUUCCGCUCUGCUAGCUCCGGCUCUGCCACAACCUUCACUAUUCCCUCAAGCGGAACCCAUGUCAUCCAUCCAAUGGAUACAUGUAUGCUACCUCGAGUCACCAACGCUGUCACCGUUCUGCUCGAAGCUAGCCUUACCACCUCACUCCGCGAGUUAAGGUUUCAACCUCAAUCCAUUCUCUCGCACAAGGAUGCCUUCUCAUUCCAUAUCAUGGGCACACUCCAAAGAGUCAUCGAUCUCCCCAUCGAUCUUCCUUUUACCAAGAGAGAAGUACUGGUUCAUCGAGUAGCCCUUUGGUAAUCCCGCAACUUUGGUCGAAGCUGCUCCCAACGAAGACUACUGCCCGUCAGACUUCAAACUCAGCUUUCACGAAGUAAACUCUUUCGCCCAGUGUUUCACCGCCCAAUCCAUAUCCUUUCGAGAAGCACCAUCGUCGAGGAUUCACAUUUGGGAAUACAUCUCCACCUUAUGUACUCCCCCACCCUGAGUCGUAAGCACCUCUGUACAACUCAGUAUCCUUGGGCAUUCGCAAUACCCAACUCCGCGGCAACCCAACCACGGACCGCAAACUGAUUCUUCCUAAUCAUUGCCCCAUCGUCUGCCACACGACUAAGGCCUUAACCAUUUCUCCAUCCUGAGAAUGACUUGGAAAUCCUCACAGGGUACCGACAUGAACUUGGCUUUCGUCCCACCACGAGUCCACACCAACAAGCACCUCCCUCGCAAGACCCGCAAUCGGCUGGGCCUCCGAGCUCCUCGCUGUUAUCUGACUCUCAUCCAUGCGUGGUGCAAGUCCGAACCGCCCGGCUUCACUCACCGCAAAGAAUUCGUGGGUAGUACCAAUAUCCAUCGCAACUUAACUCCGCAUCUCUCACAAGCGAAGUAUUGUCCCAAUGCAUUGUCGGCUCCAAGUCCUUUCGUCAGAGUGACUCUGCUCACUCCAACUUCGCCGCCAAGGUCGCACCUUUCGGCCAAACUUCCAUCCCAAAUGAGCUCAACCUGGCUCUGAUACCACUUGUCACGGGGUUAGCUUUUCCGCCUCAAAAAUCCCCGCGCGGCGCUCAAGUGUCGCACACCCGAGCCAGCCUUCUCGAGUCCCUUACACGGACAAGUCUCCCCGACUUAACAGCGGAAUACCAAUCCAAGCAUUUUGCCAAGCUUGCUCCUCCUCGAGACUUAUAGCCCGACCCUCGCCUGUAAUCGAACCCCUCGUCGGACUCCUCGAGUUCCCAACGAGCAACCCCAAUAUCGAGGUUGGCCACCAAGCUAGGUGCAUCCUGUUUUGUCAACCAAACCCUCCUCGAGAGUGCUCUGUAGCCGAAUGCCUUGUUGCCUUCCUCGCCAGCCCAAGGACAUUACAAGUUCUCCCCCAACUUGUACAAUAUGAGUAUAGCCGAGCGUCUCGCCUCCCACGCGUCUCGCUCCCGCGACUCAACCCGCACGCCUCUAGCGUCGAGGUCCGGGCUUCGCGACAUCGCAUGCCACGAAGGGCACUCAUAACCAUAAGUUCCACCAUCGUGUCUCCCGCGCCUGACAACGCCCAUGGCCAUACCGCCUACGCGGCCUGCUCGCUCGGUCCAACGGCUUACCUCCGAAAAGCCACCCAAGUGUGCGCCACAAGCUUGCUUGCCCCAACAUCAGCACCUCAGCGUGACACCACGCACGUCCGUGCUUCGCACCUCCGUGCUUCGCAUUCGACCCGUGCGGCCCUCGUGUCCCAUCGCUCCUGAAUAGGGAACCAACAAGUCCACACCGUGCUUCUCGACCGUCUCAUCGACCCUCGCUUUGCCACGGCGCUCCGCGCCCUUGACUCCCAUAGGUUCGCCUCAUAAGGCCCCAUACAAACGAACCGGCCUCGCUCCGCAUCGCUAGCCACUGGCCCCUCCUUGGCUCGACCACGCCUGGCCGCUUACCCCAUUGGUCCAGUCUCUCAAGGUUCACUAUACGGAUACCGAUACCGCUUGCCUCCUUGGGUUCCGCCCCUCGAGUCUCGUAGGCCACCCGCCUUACGAAUUCUCCCUCGGCGUGCCUCCCUUUAGCGUCCCUAUCGAGUCUCGCCUCCUUGGCCUUCGUGGGCGCCGCGCCCCACGAAUCCCCGCUCGGCACACUUGCCUUCGCGAGCCUUGUCCUUUACGGAGGACCGUCCGUCGCUAGACUAUCCCUCAUCCGCUCGUACGCUCCACUACAGAGAUCCAAGCCGGCAUAAGGUAGCGCAAGCGAUCCUAGGGAGGAAGCCUCCCGGUAUUCCCCGCUUCCGUAAUGUCGUCGACCUCUCGCGUCUCCGACAUUACCCUAGGCCCGUGUCCCUUCAACCGUCCAUUAACCGGCUACACGGAACGCUAGGCUUGGCUACUCCGCUAGCCAAGGGACGACCCAUAUCCUAUGGGUCGACGGGGGAGUCGGGGCCACUUACGAAGUGUCCACCCCUCCUCUAAUACCCUUACGAGGCAUCCACUCCUUUGGCACCCCGGGGGUACAAAGGUGCUCACCGAGGGGUACGUUUUCAAGCCCCGCAUGCGGCACCUAUUUCCAAGUCAUGGCAUGGGCCAUUGCUAGGGAAUUGCCUCCGUUGACUUGACAGCGACUCCUACCUGACGGAACGCUUCAACUCCGCAACUCCAUAACUUCGUCAACCCAAAUGCCUACCAAGUAUGGCCCACAAAGGUGUCACGGUCGAGACCCAACGAUCGACCCGUGACAGUACGGCACGAGCGGCAUUUUGAACCUUGAUAAUAAUAUUAUAAUACUAAUCCAAGUGUCGAAACGCAAAAAAUCGCGCCUGCGGUGUUUCGAUCGGCUCGUCAAAUGGCACCAAAUCCCUUUCCUCUUCUUCUU